UACGUAGGCAGCAAGCGUUGUUCGGAAUUACUGGGCGUAAAGGGUGCGUAGGCGGUGCUCUAAGUUUGGUGUGAAAUCUCCCGGCUUAACUGGGAGGGUGCGCCGAAAACUGGAGCGCUGGAGUGCGGGAGAGGAAAGCGGAAUUCCUGGUGUAGCGGUGAAAUGCGUAGAGAUCAGGAGGAACACCUGCGGUGUAGACGGCUUUCUGGACCGUAACUGACGCUGAGGCACGAAAGCGUGGGUAGCAAACAGG
rnacentral:rRNA from 1 species